GAUGAACGCUGGCGGCGUGCUUAACACAUGCAAGUCGAACGGUGAAGGCGGAGCUUGCUCUGCUGGAUCAGUGGCGAACGGGUGAGUAACACGUGAGCAAUCUGCCCCUGACUCUGGGAUAAGCGCUGGAAACGGCGUCUAAUACUGGAUACGAGCUGCGAAGGCAUCUUCAGCAGCUGGAAAGAAUUUCGGUCAGGGAUGAGCUCGCGGCCUAUCAGCUUGUUGGUGAGGUAGUGGCUCACCAAGGCGUCGACGGGUAGCCGGCCUGAGAGGGUGACCGGCCACACUGGGACUGAGACACGGCCCAGACUCCUACGGGAGGCAGCAGUGGGGAAUAUUGCACAAUGGGCGAAAGCCUGAUGCAGCAACGCCGCGUGAGGGACGACGGCCUUCGGGUUGUAAACCUCUUUUAGCAGGGAAGAAGCGAAAGUGACGGUACCUGCAGAAAAAGCGCCGGCUAACUACGUG
rnacentral:rRNA from 1 species